GACGAACGCUGGCGGCGUGCUUAACACAUGCAAGUCGAACGGAGCACCCCUGAAGGAGUUUUCGGACAACGGAUGGGAAUGCUUAGUGGCGGACUGGUGAGUAACGCGUGAGGAACCUGCCUUCCAGAGGGGGACAACAGUUGGAAACGACUGCUAAUACCGCAUGAUGCGUUGGAGCCGCAUGACUCUGACGCCAAAGAUUUAUCGCUGGAAGAUGGCCUCGCGUCUGAUUAGCUAGUUGGUGAGGUAACGGCCCACCAAGGCGACGAUCAGUAGCCGGACUGAGAGGGUGGCCGGCCACAUUGGGACUGAGAUACGGCCCAG
rnacentral:rRNA from 1 species